rfam:Clostridium sp. FS41 CLFS41_contig000067, whole genome shotgun sequence.
GUAAAAAACGGGGAGCUUAUGAAUAGGCUGAGAGGAAGUUUUAAACUUCGACCCAUGAACCUGAUUUGGAUAAUGCCAACGUAGGGACCGAUCAUGAAACUUCUU